AUUGAACGCUGGCGGCAGGCCUAACACAUGCAAGUCGAGCGAGCGGCGGAAGGGGGAGUAAUGUAUGGGGACUGCCCGAUAGAGGGGGAUAACUACUGGAAACGGUAGCUAAUACCGCAUACUAUCGGAUAACCCAUAUGGGAUUAGCUAGUAGGUGAGGUAAUGGCUCACCUAGGCGACGAUCCCUAGAUGGUCUGCGAGGAUGAUCAGCCACACUGGUACUAAGAACAGGCCCAGACUCCUACGGGGGCAGCAGUGGGGAGUUUUGGGCGAGUGGGGAAACCCUAAUCCAUCCAUCCCGCGUGUAUGAUGAAGGCCUUCGUGUUUUAAAGUACUUUUGGCAGGGAAGCGGUAUCUGCAGAAUAAGCACCGGCUAACUACGUGCCAGCAGCCGCGGUAAUUC
rnacentral:rRNA from 1 species